CUUCUAGCCAUGCCAUGUAAAGCGGCGCCGAGACAGCACCCUUCCUAGGCAUCGGCAACGUCCUGUAACGAGGAGGGAUGUUUGAGUGAUCAAGGAACAUUAUGAUGGAGAAGCUCCCGCAGUCGAAGAUGUCUGUUUGUCUUUUCCUUCAUGGCAAUCAGUUCUGACUCUUUGACAGGAACUGGAAGAGUAAUGAUUGUUCGGAUCUAGUGGCUGCUGAAAAUCUGCUAUGAGCAAGUCGAAGAAGCUCUUUGUCGUAGACUGGGCGGGUUUUGAUACGUCUGGGAUGACCUUCAGGGCGGAGUAAUCAAUUCGAAAUUUGGACAGAAGACUUGCCAUACUGCCAAAAUAAAAAUUUAAAUUAAUCUAAGCAAGUAAGGCGAUGAUAAUACGUACAAGUGGUGUAGAGUUUAGCAGUACAAAUACCUUCGUUGUUCGUAUUCGAGCUCUGAAUUCCUAUUGGCUAGUGCAAAGACUCGUAAUCGACUACUGGACCAAUUACGUCUCGUGCUGAUGAUAUACGGUAAUAGCAAUGUGAG